AUAAUUAUCUGCUGUAAGAAUUGGACUUGCUAGAUCACCAACCCCAUCACGGACAAAUCUCUCAUUCCAUUUUCUAGAGAACCUUGGCUAACUGUUUGGUGGUUUCAAGUGUUUGAAACUAUAGGUUUCUAAAUUUGCAUGACAGACUUUAAGUAAAGUCAUGUUGAAGAAAAAGGACUGACUGACAGUCAACAAUGUACACUACCUAGUUUGGUAACCUGUUGGCUGCUUACCUUGAAUCUCCCUUUUUACUUUCUUAAGCUUGAUUUGAGGGUAACUCCUUCACUACUUAUCAUGGACUUCAUUCAUUGGUGAUGCUAUAAUUCAAGAGAAUGCUGUCAUUCAAGACUGAAAAAUUGUGUAGUUGUUAGAUAAAACAAGAACAAGUGCAUGUCUGGGCUCCCUUCUUUCUUUGGCCCCAUUUCCCU